rnacentral:misc_RNA from 1 species
GAUGAAGAACGUAGCGAAAUGCGAUAAGUAGUGUGAAUUGCAGAAUUCAGUGAAUCAUCGAAUCUUUGAACGCACAUUGCGCCCCUUGGUAUUCCAUGGGGCAUGCCUGUUCGAGCGUCAUUUGUACCUUCAAGCCUUGCUUGGUGUUGGGUGUUUGUCUCGCCUCUGCGCGCAGACUCGCCUCAAAACAAUUGGCAGCCGGCGUAUUGAUUUCGGAGCGCAGUACAUCUCGCGCUUUGCACUCUGAACGACGACGUCCAAAAGUACAUUUUUACACUCUUGACCUCGGAUCAGGUAGGGAUACCCGCUGAACUUAAGCAUAUCAAUAAGCGGAGGA